GAUGAAGAACGCAGCGAAAUGCGAUAAGUAAUGUGAAUUGCAGAAUUCAGUGAAUCAUCGAAUCUUUGAACGCACAUUGCGCCCCCUGGUAUUCCGGGGGGCAUGCCUGUCCGAGCGUCAUUACAACCCUCAAGCUCAGCUUGGUGUUGGGCCCCGCCGCCCCGGCGGGCCCUAAAGUCAGUGGCGGUGCCGUCCGGCUCCGAGCGUAGUAAUUCUUCUCGCUCUGGAGGUCCGGUCGUGUGCUCGCCAGCAACCCCCAAUUUUUUUCAGGUUGACUUCGGAUCAGGUAGGGAUACCCGCUGAACUUAAGCAUAUCAAUAAGCGGAGGA
rnacentral:misc_RNA from 1 species